GUAGGAAGUGACUGUAGGUUUAGAUGAAUGGAAAAUGAACUUGCCAGUUCACAGCUAUGUCCUUCCCAAUUUAGGAGGUUAAGGGCAGGAAAAACAUGAGAAACUCUUUUGAGAAGCUGCACAAGCUGACAUGGAGGAUCAAGGAUUUCAAAAGCUUUGAAUAUAAAGAGGUGUCAGACUUACAUCAGAGCCUGAGACUUGACAUGCCUAUUUUUGCACUCGCUCAUUUUUCAAAUUUCAUAGGCAUUGCUCCCUCCAAAUCACCGCUCUUCUAAUUUUAUCCUGGAGUGUGCAUCCCAGAAGACAUAAGCUGACACAAUUGGGAACUGAAGUUGCUUGAAAAAGCUGGUGGUAAGAUUAGACUCUAGACAGCUUAUACGUAUUUGGACAAGGCAACGUGAUGAAGAAAUAAUAUAAUUGUAGGAUCACCUCUGUCCAGUAGCUGUUAUCCAACAUCUGCAUACUUAGAUUUCUGGAGAGCCCUAUGCCUUCACAAGAACAAGUUCCCACACCAGGGUCAAGAAGGAAACCGUAAGUCAAGACAAAAGUGCCCAGUGAAGGCAGAAGAUGAGGGGUCUCAGGUUGCAUCUUCGGAGGCACGAGGAUUCAAAGGUGAACAAAGCACACAGUACAUCAUUUGAUGUGAUAUCCAUGAAUGACCAUGAAAGUACAGCAAGUGAUUUUCAAGCUGCAAACAAAUUUUAGCAAGCAAAUGGAAGAAGAAAGAGGAGAGUGGUGGUGUGUGCUUUCCCUUUAAUGGCAGAACCCAACAGUCGUACACACCACUUCUACCCUCUUAAGAUGGGUCAGAAUCCAGGCCCAAUUCCAUGUAUACAUGGAAGAGAGGCUUAUUAAAGUAGCCUUCAGUUGCUGGACAGAGUUCCAUCCAAAACUACAGUUAAUAGGUAAGUCGAGAACUUACAUUAAGUGAUAAAUGGCAGUCUCUGCCAAGGAAAAUAUUCUUAUCCAUGCUCAUGGAUAAGAAGAAUCAAUAUCAUGAAAAUGGCCAUACUGCCAAAAGUAAUUUAUAGAUUCAAUGCUAUUCCCAUCAAGCUACCAUUGACUUUCUUCACAGAAUUAGAAAAAACUACUUUAAAUUUCAUAUGGAACCAAAAAAGAGCCUGCAUAGCCAAGACAAUCCUCAGCAAAAAGAACAAAGCUGGAGGCAGCAUGCUACCUGACUUCAAACUACACUACAAAGCUACAGUAACCAAAACAGCUUGGUGCUGGUACCAAAACAGAUACAUAGACCAAGGGAACAGAACAGAGGCCUAAGAAAUAACACCACACAUCUACAACCAUUGAAACUUUGACUAACCAGACAAAAACAAGCCAUGGGGAAAGGAUUCCCUAUUUAAUACAUGCUGAUGGAAAAACUAGCUAGCCGUCUGCAGAAAACUGAAACUGGACCUUAUACAAAAAUUAACUUACAUCUUAUACAAAAAUUAACUCAAGAUAGAUCAAAGAUUUAAGUGUAAGACCUAAAACCAAAAAACCCUAGAAGAAAACCUAGGCAAUACCAUUCAGGACAUAGGCAUUGCCAAAAACCUUAUGAUGAAAAUACCAAAAGGAAUGGCAACAAAAGCCAAAAUUGACAAAUGGGAUCUAAUUAAACUAAAGAGCUUCUGCACAGCAAAAGAAACUACCAUCAGAGUGAACAGGCAACCUACAGAAUGGGAGAAAAAUUUUGAAAUCUAUCUUUCUGACAAAGGGCUAAUAUCCAGAAUCUAUAAGGAACUUAAACAAAUUUACAAGAAAAAAACAAACAA
ensembl:lncRNA LINC01684 long intergenic non-protein coding RNA 1684